rnacentral:tRNA from 1 species
GGCCGAGAUAGCUCAG